rnacentral:lncRNA from 1 species
GUGCCAACAGCAGGUGGCAUCCUUAGACCCACCCCCACCCCCAGAGUAUCAUCAUCCACUGAGGAGAGGAAAGGUGCCAACGAGCUAUUAUUGUUACUUAUUGGAUGCUAUAAUGGUACCUCAGGGCAUUGCUUGUGUCUUUUGCCCAUGUAGAAAAGCUCAGCCUUUGACAGGGUUUCAGAGGCUAAACAAAACAGCAAUUUUACACCCAAAUUUUGCUUUGAUUUGAGUAACCACCCAGCCAAGAGACUCUUCUCUACUUGGAUGUCAUGGAGAAGUUAAAGAGGAGGAGUCUGCCCUCAUGUUCUCUUUAGUUUCCCAUUAGAGCAGGUCUGUAGGGUAUGGCUGCCUUCUGAUGCUUCUCUGUUUGUUGUACUCUGCUUUCCUGUACCUCUGCACCGGACAGAACUUUUAUGAAUCAACAAGAUGAUGCUUUCCACAGAGACCUCUCCCCUUCAGGAUAAAAUGAGCCUUUGCUUCCAACAACCAGAGGAGACGAUUGGAAAUGAAGAAACUGGAGCUCUGACGCUGUGGAGAAGCUUCUAAAUGCUGUCUGAGCUGAGAGGAGAACAAGACAUAGGCUGGAGCCAUUAAGGAAGCCUUCUUUGGACAAGUGGGAUUUCACUUAAGCCUUAAACAAUGAAGUCGGGUCUGUAUAGAAAGUGAGGCAGAGAAAAAGAAAAAAAGAAAAAGAAGGGGGGGGGGCAUCACAAGUGAAACCAACAGGUAGGACUU